rnacentral:rRNA from 1 species
CCCUUAGAUGAUUUGGGCUGCACACGCGCUACACUGGCCCUAACAAUGAGCAACUGUCUGGCCUGAGAUGGCUGGGUAGCCUUUUCAACCCAUGUCAUGAUUGGGCUAGAUUUUUGUAAGUCUUGAUCUCUAACGAGGAAUCCCUAGUAUGCGUGAAUCAUCAAUCCAUGCAGAUUAUGUCCCUGCCCUUUGUACACACCGCCCGUCGCUCCUACUGAUUGGGUGAUCCGGUGAGCUGUUCGGCCAUAGCAAUGUUUCUUGAGCAGGGCAAUGAAUGUUUCGCAAACCUUGCCACUUAGAGGAAGGAGAAGUCGUAACA